GCCGGGGUAGCGAAGCCAGAAAACGGGCGAAGUCCAACGCGAUCGCCUCGAGAGCGAUUGUCCCCUCGGGACACGUGGGUUCAAAUCCCACCCCCGGCG
rnacentral:tRNA from 1 species